GAUCCUGGCUCAGGAUAAACGCUGGCUACAGGCUUAACACAUGCAAGUCGAGGGGCAGCAUCAUCAAAGCUUGCUUUGAUGGAUGGCGACCGGCGCACGGGUGAGUAACACGUAUCCAACCUGCCGACAACACUGGGAUAGCCUUUCGAAAGAAAGAUUAAUACCGGAUGGCAUAGUUUUCCCGCAUGGGAUGACUAUUAAAGAAUUUCGGUUGUCGAUGGGGAUGCGUUCCAUUAGG
rnacentral:rRNA from 1 species